AUUGUACAACAUGAGACACUCUUUUAAAAAGCCUGAAUGUCCAGCUGUAGAUCAGCAGAGACAAUAUAGAGUUAAUGUAUUUAAGAUUUUUUUAGCUUCAUAUGAGGCAUUGCCAUGUUACAAAUAAUCAGUGUCUUUCCUGUUAAGGAAGAUCAAGCAUGAUUUAAAAUAUAUAAAAAAAAACAUCAAUUCAGACAUUAAAUUGUUUGAUUUAACUAUAAAAUACAUUUUCAACAACAAAAAGUUAAAUGGCCAUUUUGAAGUGGAUUUAUGUGGAGGAGUUUUAAACAACUAAUAUCUUACCUGUUGCAGAUCAGAACAGGACUGACCAGCUAACAACUAGUCUGAAUGAAGCUAAUAAGCUGAAUGCUGGUCAGUCCUGGAGAACUGCAGUUGUUCAAAGACGUUUUCACAAAAUGUAAGUUGUAAAUGUUUAGUAAAAUUUCCACAAAACCACAUUUCAAAAGGGCUGGAUUAUCUCCCUAAAUUGGUAAGUGCCUUUGCCAGAUUAACACACUUUGCAAGAAGUGCACUUCUAAAGUCAGAUAGCCCUACGACUUUCCCCUUCUUGCACGACUAAAAAAGUUGGAACACAAGUAGAACUCAGUUUACGAUGCAACAAAGGGAAACAGGAUUCACUGUGAACAAUUUCUGCUCACACACGUUCCAGUGAAAACUCCACAGCACUUUUAGCUUCUAUUUGUGUUUGCCUACAGAUUUCCUGCAGACUCCGAGUUCCAUGGCUUAAAGAAAGCUCAGAGUUUAGUUGCUGUCUCAGACUUGAUUUCUUUCUUUUCUUGUGAUGUUUGGUUUGUCAGUGGAGUCUAAUAAUCCCAUGUGCAGCCAUCUGGGAGAAAUUUGUGGACCAACCCAAUGAGGAUCAACCCUUCAGCCAUAAAACUGUUCCACAAACACACCUUUUGUCUAAACGUUUCCCUUCCUGACUGACUCUCAUUGGACUCACCGUGUUCUGAGUCUCAGUAAAUUUGGACCAUGAGUCUCCUCUGUGCUGUAAAUGACGGACAGUGAUAAAUAUGUGUUUUCUGUCAUGUUUGUGGUUUGAUUGUGAGAGUAAAUAAUGGGAGAUUAUAAUUUUUUCAUGAAAUAAUACUUCAAAUUGUAUUUUUCUUUAAUUGUAUAUUUACUUUAUUUACAGUGGUCCUUCCCGGUGCAUGUAAACCCUUUGAGAUGCAAUAAAUUGGAUGACGGACAAAUCAGCUCUUCAUCUUUUUUAAAACUUUGAAAAUAAUAAAAAUAAUUAUUUUUUUCAUUCCCAGGCACUUGUUUUACAAACGUUUGCACCUCCAUCGACUUCAUCUUACGUGUUUUCUAAGUGACCACUUCCACAUGUGUGCAGCAGUAUGACCUCUUCAGUUGGAUACCUCAGCCUCAUUUGGCCAAGACAGACCCACCACCAGUAGUGGUCAUCUGGCAGCCCGAAGGGGCUGACCUCUAAUGUCCAACUCCUUCAGCUGCUUUGUGAUAAAAUUGGAUACAACCCCCACCCCAGGAGRCCACUUCCAUUGGUGCACUUUCACGUUCCAGCUCUACUCCUCAGCUUCAGCUGCUUAGAUUGGCAGAAAAAAAGCUACAGCURCUAAUUGCUUUUACAAAUAAUCCUAGAAUUCAGUGUACCCAAACAUGAAAGUUUAGUGCACUGCUCACAUCAGUCUCUGUAAAGUUUUGACAUAGCUGUUUUAAGACUUUGGUCCCACUCAGACUAAACAUUAGCUUGUCAAACUGAUUGAAUUAAUCUGUUUUCCCAAACUAAAACCAUUUAAAGAGCUAUAUACAGAAGGUUAGACCAUUGCYCAUAAGCUUUCAAUGUCUUUAAAGUACAUGUAUUAUGCUUUGAGAUCCUGUUUUUUACACAUUUAAAUCAUUCAAGUGAAACUGCAAUGCUUUGGUCUGAAUUCCUCCAUGUUGUAACUCCAMAAGCCCCACAUAUUUCACAGAUGUUAAUUUUUUUAAUAGAUUGUUUACCUUUUCUGUCUAUAAAUAAAUGUUUCUUUCGUCUCAUAUUACAUGAGCUGGACAAACAAUAAAAAAUGUCUUCCUGCUUGAAGAUGUCUCCACACGACUGAAGAGCAGGUCCAGUGUGAGCUCUGAGUAUUUGCUGCUGUUUAAUAUAAGAUGAAUGUUUGAAACCGGAAUCAUCACAAACACACACAAACAUAUAAAGUCACUUGGUUUAAUAGUAAUUAAUACUCUUGAGAUGUUUGUUUUUUCUUUAAUAAAAUAAACAAGAUAAGUGAAACCCAUUACAUCCUAAUUUUAAACUUUUUAUAAGCAGUAUUCAAAAUCUAAUUUACUCUUUAAAAAUAGAGAAAUAUAAAGAGCUCAAGUAAUCUGUUGAAUGUAGCCUCACAUUAAAUACAAGUACAGUACCAGAAAACUAUUUUCUACAGUCGUUUGAAAAAGAAAAGGAAUAACAAACUUUACAGUCUCAUAAAUUAGCACCACGUUGUUAUGUGCACAAUGAAUCACUGUGUUGCAAACAGACAAAA